GCCACACAUCCGGUACCCUUCGCUACUUUUUCGAAGGGCGGGGAGCCGGCGGCACCCCGGGUGAUGACAGCCACCGAGCCGUCGGAGUCCCCUGCCCAGUCAUCCCGGGGGGGAACGAAAUACGGCUCGCUGACUACAGCCACGUGGAUUGACCACUGCGCCAGGCUCUGAACAAGCAAGCAAGCAUUAGCAAAAGGGUGAUGAGGAGAGCACUCCGGAGUCGCCGGCGCUGUCCCCCGCGCCUUCUCCUGCGCGCCGCCCGCGCCGCGGCUCCACGCAUUCCAACACCAGCAACACCAGUCUCACUAAGUUGGAUACUAAGAGGUCAAAGAAAAUGCCCCCAUUAGAGGAAGAAGAUAAGGAUAGCGAGAAAAAAUAGUUUAAAAAUUAAGUUAUUAUUUUAUUUUUAAUGUUAUGGGUUGUAUUUUUUUCUAAUAUAAAAUGUGUACCAA